CCUUAUCAUUUAGAGGAAGGAGUCGAAACAAAGUUACCGUGGGUGACCCUGUGGUAGGAUCAUU
rnacentral:rRNA from 1 species